UACAAUCUCAUACACGCUCCCACGCAAGAGUUUUAAAGAUGAGAAAACAUUUACAAUAAAAUGUCGCAUUUGGACGGAAUAAUGAGAGGGGAGAUGUGGGUCAAUCAGACCUCGAUGCGAAGUUGGCUGCGGCGUUUUGAAUCGAUGAUCGAUGUGCCUGUCGCGUGCAUGCGCCUCGCUCGCAAUGGCGGAUCGAGAUAUCCGCGAACCACGGACUGGAGCCAAGAUCUAAAAUUGAAAAUAUUAACAUUUGUAAAACUAUGCAAUUUUACCCAAUUACGAUAAUCGAUCUAAAA